rnacentral:sRNA from 1 species
UCUGGGUGUGGUGGUGCACACCUGUAAUCCCAGCUACUUGGGAGGCUGAGGCAGGGCUAUCACAAGUUCAAGGCCAGCCUGGACAACUUAGCAAGAUCCUUGUCUCAA